AACGCGAAGAACCUUACCAGAUCUUGACAUGGACAGUAUGGUUCCCUGAAAGGGGAUCCUUCAGUUUGGCUGGCUGUUCACAGGUGCUGCAUGGCUGUCGUCAGCUCGUGUCGUGAGAUGUUGGGUUAAGUCCCGCAACGAGCGCAACCCUCAUUCCUAGUUGCCAACACGUUAUGGUGGGAACUCUAGGAAAACUGCCGGUGAUAAGCCGGAGGAAGGUGGGGAUGAUGUCAAGUCUUCAUGGUCCUUACGAUCUGGGCUACACACGUGCUACAAUGGCGGUGACAAUGGGGAGCUAACCCGCAAGGGUAUGCAAAUCUCAAAAAGCCGUCUCAGUUCGGAUUGCACUCUGCAACUCGAGUGCAUGAAGCUGGAAUCGCUAGUAAUCGUAGAUCAGCUCGCUACGGUGAAUACGUUCCCGGGCCUUGUACACACCGAGACGUA
rnacentral:rRNA from 1 species